rnacentral:lncRNA from 1 species
CUUCAUAUCUUCUGCUGAUUCAGAAUACAUACUUGGACAUUGAUUUUAUUUCUGAACUUCUUCUUGCUUCUUACUCGUCAAGAUAAAGUGUUUGGAUAUGUAUUCCCUAUUUUU